GCUCAACCGUAAAAUUGCCAUUGAUACUGGUUAUUCUUGAGUUCAGUUGAGGUGGCCGGAAUGAGUAAUGUACCGGUGAAAUGCUUAGAUAUUACUCAGAACACCGAUUGCGUAGGCAGCUCGCUAAACUGUAACUGACGCUGAGGCACGAAAGCGUGGGGAGCGAACAGGAUUAGAUACCCUGGUAGUCCACGCCGUAAACUAUGAAUACUGGAUGUGUGCGAUACACUGUACGCGUCUGAGCGAAAGCAUUAAGUAUUCCACCUGGGGAGUACGUCCGCAAGGAUGAAACUCAAAGGAAUUGACGGGGGCCCGCACAAGCGGAGGAACAUGUGGUUUAAUUCGAUGAUACGCGAGGAACCUUACCUGGGCUUAAAUGCAGUAUGACCGUUCUCGAAAGAGAUCUUCCAUUCGGGGCAAAUUGCAAGGUGCUGCAUGGUUGUCGUCAGCUCGUGCCGUGAGGUGUCGGGUUAAGUCCCAUAACGAGCGCAACCCUUACCGUUAGUUGCCAGCGAGUAAUGUCGGGGACUCUAGCGGAACUGCCGGUGUAAACCGCGAGGAAGGUGGGGAUGACGUCAAAUCAGCACGGCCCUUAUGUCCAGGGCUACACACGUGUUACAAUGGUCGGUACAGUGGGCAGCUACCCAGCGAUGGGAUGCUAAUCUCCAAAACCGAUCCCAGUUCGGAUUGAAGCCUGCAACUCGACUUCAUGAAGGUGGAUUCGCUAGUAAUCGCAUAUCAGCAACGAUGCGGUGAAUACGUUCCCGGGCCUUGUACACACCGCCCGUCAAGCCAUGGAAGCUUGGGGUACCUGAAGUCCGUAACCGCAAGGAGCGGCCUAGGGUAAACAAGUACUGGGGCUAAGUCG
rnacentral:rRNA from 1 species